rnacentral:lncRNA from 1 species
UCGUGUCAUAAUUUACUUAAGAAAGCCAAAAAUAAAAAUACUCAAAAGAACCAACUACACAACAACUCACUAACAGUCAAUUGGCAAAAUCAUCAAAAACAUGCAACACAAUAGUCAUUUCCAAUUCUUGAGUUUAAAUCUUGAAUCUAGCUCUGACUUCAAGAGAAAGUCUCUUAAUCCUGAAUUUGGGAUCCAUGCA